rnacentral:snRNA from 1 species
GCGCUCACUUCAGCACAUAUACUAAAAUUGGAAUGAUAGAGAAGACGAGCAGGGCCCCUGUACAAGGAAGACAAGUGAAUUUGUGAAGGGUGCCAUAUUUUU